GUUGCUUCUUGGGAGGAUGGUGAGGGUGCCAAAUGUGGGGCCCUUGCCUCCAGGAGGUGCCGAGAACCAGGUUCUGCCUGGCACUGUACCAGUCCUCUGCUCCAGGCCAGCCAUCCUCAGAACGCCCCCCCCAGUCCUGUUUUGUGGCUCCUGCCCGGCUUCCUGCGCCUCCACCCCAGGCUCCCAUUUCUGAAAGGCUUGGACACAUGAGGACCCUGGUUGAUACCAAGCUGUGGGUGACAGGCUUCCACAGUGUUGGUGUUCCAGAGGGACGGGCAUGGGCACCCUGGAGCCACGUUCAGCCUGGCACCUUAUGGUUCCCUCCCUGCCUGGGAGUGGCAGUGGUGCCAGCCCAGGGCUGCCAGGUGCCUGGCUGUCCCCAGCACCUCCUCUCCUUCAGCAAGGGGUCGGCCGGGCAGGGCCUGAGCUACAACUUCACCCACCUGGACGGGUAUCUGGACCUCCUCCAAGAGAACCAGCUGCUGCCCGGCUUUGAGCUGAUGGGAAGCCCUUCAGGACGCUUCAAUGACUUUGAGGACAAGCUGCAGGUGGUGAAGUGGAGGGACCUGGUCUCUCUCCUGGCCAGGAGAUACAUAGGUAGGUACGGACUAGCGCAGGUUUCUAAGUGGAACUUCGAGACAUGGAAUGAGCCAGACCACAAGGAUUUUGACAACGUGUCCAUGACCACUCAAGGCUUCCUGAACUACUAUGAUGCCUGCUCUGAGGGUCUGAGGGCUGCCAGCCCUGCCCUGCGGCUGGGUGGCCCUGGCGACUCCUUCCACCCGCCCCCGCGGUCCCCGCUCUGCUGGAGCCUCCUGGGGCACUGUGCCAACGGCACCAACUUCUUCACUGGCGAGGUGGGCGUGCGUCUGGACUACAUCUCCCUGCACAAGAAGGUGUGUGCUGUGCCCAGCCCCCCUCAGCCAGGCUCGCCGGCUGCGGUGCUGAGACCGGUGCUGCCGCAGGGCAAAGGCAGCUCCAUCGGCAUCCUGGAGCAGGAGGUGGCCACUGUGCAGCAGAUCCAGCAGCUCUUCCCCACGUUCAAGGACAUCCCCAUCUACAACGACGAGGCAGACCCGCUGGUGGGCUGGUCACAGCCACAGCCGUGGAGGGCCGAUGUGACCUACGCAGCCAUGGUGGUGAAGGUCAUCGCCCAGCACCAGAACCUGCUGGUCGCCAAUGCCAGCUCCCCAGUCCACUAUGCUCUCCUGAGCAAUGACAACGCCUUCCUGAGCUACCACCCGCACCCCUUCUCCCAGCGCACGCUGACUGCCCGCUUCCAGGUGAACAACACCCACCCGCCCCACGUGCAGCUGCUGCGCAAGCCAGUUCUCACAGCCAUGGGGCUGCUGGCCCUGCUGGAUGGAGAGCAGCUCUGGGCAGAGGUGUCCCGACACAGGGUGGUGCUGGACAGCAACCACACAGUGGGCGUCCUGGCCAGUGCCCACCACCCUAAGGGCCUCACUGACGCCUGGCGUGCCACCAUGCUGGUCUAUGCAAGUGAUGACACCCGCACCCACCCCAACCGCAGCAUCCGUGUGACCUUGCACUUGUAUGGGGUUCCUCCCCACCCAGGGCUCCUCUACGUCACGUACCACCUGGACAACCGUCUCUGCAGCCCCCACAGCGAGUGGCAGCACAUGGGCCGGCCGGUCUUCCCCUCCGCGGAGCAGUUCCGCCGUAUGCGCUUAGCUGAGGACCCUGUGGUUGCAGAGCCGCGCCCCUUCCCGGUCGGCGGCAGCCUGACGCUGCAUCCUGAGCUUGCGCUGCCUUCGCUCCUUCUGGUGCACGUGUGUGCGCGCCCCGAGAAGCCUCCUGGCCAGGUGCCUGUGGACUUAUGAGAUCCAGUUCUCCCUGGAUGGUGAGGUGUACACCCCGGUCAGCAGGAGGCCAUCCACUUUUAACCUCUUUGUGUUCAGCCCAGACACAGCUGCUGUUUCUGGCUCCUACCGUGUGCGAGCACUGGACUACUGGGCCCGGCCGGGCCCCUUCUCUGACCCCGUACCAUACCUGGAGGUCCCUGCCUCAUGAGGGACCCAUGAGCCUGGUGAACUGCUGGCUAGUCAUAGGGCGCCAGCUCUUUUGUCUCCCACCUCACAGUUUAAAGAGCCUUUCUACAUCACAGUGUUGGGUCAGCUUCUGGACGGACACUGGGUCAAGUGGGGACUGGCACCAGGGAAAGAGAACAGGGCUGGUGGAGAGCAGGUGGAGCCUGGCCUUUGCCUGCCUCCUCCCAACAAGGACCCCAGCCCUCCAGGUGGAGCUGCUGGUGAGGGCUGCCAGGUGGAGAUGCCUGUCCUGCCCACCAGGGGUCCCUGGUGCCCCCUGGGGAGGCAGCCUCCACUCCUGCUCCCCGCCUUCCUCCUCAUUCUGCAGAAUGGGGCACUGAGGCUACUCCAAGGAGGAGCAUCUGCAGGGCACCAUGGUGGAGGGUGGGACAGGGCAUCCCUGCCCAUGCCAGACUGUGGUCAGCAGCAGAAAAGACUGCUGUCUCCACCUCCCCAGGUCCUCUGGGCCCAGGAAGAAACGAGUGAGGACACUCACUCUGCAGAGAUGCAGGUGGGGCAGCUGCCGAGCAGAGGAGCACCAGCAGGUCCAGACAGAAGGCUGCAAAGAAAGGCCACCAUCCAGGAGCAGCGAGCUCCACCGAGGGACGUGGCCCCAGCCCCUCUCCAGUGCCCACUAUGGCUGCCUUUGGCUAAGAGAGCUGUCUUCGGUGGAGGAUAGAGGCACAGGAGCCAGCAUGUCUUCUGGGGUUGUCCUGCAGCUAAGUGCAGAGCUCCCGUCCAGGGUGAUGGAGGGCUCAGCAGGGCUCCUUCCCCAGCCAGGCCUGGGUCACUGGGUCCCCACCCUCCAGCCAUCUGGACAUGUCGCCUUUGGCCUUGCUUUUGGGGCUCAGGCUUCAAGCCAUGCCAAGAGCCAGGGGUGUCCAUGCUGUCCCUGUUACCACGGCCACUGCAGAAGCCUAGUAUCUGACACCAUAUUUGUGAGGGUCACAGUGGAGUGGAUGCCCUGGGACAAAUGUAGGCAUUUCUGAGGCAUAGGCCCUGGCCCGUCCUGGCAGCCCACGCACUGUCUUCCCAGGCCUGCCAGUCUCCAGCCUCCUUCCUCUCUGGGUCUGGCCAACAGUCAGCCUUUUGGAUGCUGCUGUUGGAGAGCCAAACUUGGGUGGGGUGUGCUCUUUCCCAGGGCCAGGCCCAGUGGGCUAGGACACAGCCUCUGUCCCCUUCUGGGUGGCCUGUUGGACACAGCGCUAUAAGCCACUUCUGCACGUGUGCCUUCCCUCCCGCAGCAGUGGGAGGGCAUGUGAAGCCCAGGCUUCUUGUGGGAGAGGCUCUACCUGCCCACGUGUGGCACAUCACAGUGCACAUGUGUGCCCUCGGCUGGCACUGCCCUUUGGGCCAAGUGGAGACUGGUGUUGGGGCUUCACCAGGGCUCAGUGGUGAAUCCAGAGCUGCUUUCCAGGGGGACUUCAUGGGACAGGAGGAAGUAGCCUGCACUAGGAGGUAGGGUCUGGAUUGCUGGCAGUUCUCAGUCUGCUGGCUGUGUUGGCCUGAGGGCCACCUGUCCAGCAGUGUCGCAGGCUAGGCCUGUGGAGCCUUUUCCUGCCAGCAUUACCUGUUGUCCAGGAGGUGGUGGGGGUGGGAUGUGAAACUAGGUACGCAGGGCACCAGAACCAAGCCCCCUAGGCCUUGCCUCUGAGAGGUGGAGCGAGGCACAGAGACAUCUAAGUGGGCUAUCCUGGACUCCCCUGAGCUCCCACCCUGUGGGAUGCACACGUUCCUGAGGCAGGGAGGGUGUAUGCAGUCUCCUGCCCUGGGUCCAGCCAGCAUCGCCCUGACCCGGUUGGAUGCACUGUGGCAGGAGAGUGGCACAGAGGCUCCUGCUAGGUAAGGACAGAGGAGCAUCUGCCUGACAGCUGCAGGCCAGGGCCAGGUCCUUAGGCGCUGCAGUCCUCCAGUCUUCAACCACCGCCUGGCCAGUUGGGGCCCACUGGAGGCCCCACUCUGCCUCCUGAACGAGCGCAGGCCCGGCCAGAGUGUCCGCAAGCCCACAGCCUCCACACAGGGCUGCUGCAGAUGCCCUGCCCCACUCUGAGCCCUGAGUCACAUGGUCUCUGGGAGGGGACUGGAGUGGUUCAGAGCCCUGUCUUCCAGGCAGUCACUACUACAACGUGGCUUAAGCCAGAGACUACUUCCAGGUCCUCCUCGGGGACCCGCCCCUCCACCCGGCUCAGGUACAGGGAUCUGCUCAGGUGGGAGGCCUCAGAGCCAUGGGGGCAUCAGGGUCCCAGCAUUACCGGCUGCCAUCAGUCAUUCUAGGGACCUCUCAUGUCUCUCGUGGUCUCCAAGCCACAGGCCCCUGAAGGCAUAUCACUCUGGAAGUGCUGGUGUCCUGUUCAAGUCAGGAGGACUCGGCCCUCUGUCAGGCUCUGGUGCUGCUGGUCCUGGGGCAUGACAGCGGCCCUGAAGUGCAGGACUCUGGCCUCCUGCCCCUUGCUGUUCCAGGUGCUCAGGUCAGCCCAGGCCGGAGGCCCGCACUGCUCAGGUGGCAAGGCAGUGGCCCUCCACCUGCAGAGCCACAAGGCUCCUGAGAGCCCCAAGGCCUGGCACCUACUCCCUUUCUGUAACCCUCUCUCCUGGCCUUACUGGGGGCAGAGGAGGGAUGGCACCCUCCUCAGGUGGCUGCCUGGGGACAGACAAGCUCUCUCCUGGGGCUGCCCCCCUUUCCCUGAAGGUGAGCAGGUCCAGCCUUAAGCUGGGUGCCCACCUGGCAGCACAGGUGGCCCUGGAGCCCCAGUCUUCAGCUGCCCCUUUGCACUCCAUUCCAUUGCUUCUUUCUUGGGGAGUCCUCCCGUUGCCAGGGCAACCGUCCCUCUACCUAUACUUCCUCUAGCACCACUGAUAAUUAAGGCUGGUCCCCUGCAGGGUGGCCCUGGCCUCACACCCAGAGCCACCUGGCCUGAGAGCCCCCUUCAUAGGUCCUGGGUUGCUCAUGAUUCCAGGCCCAGCUAGGCAGAGAGGGCCAGGGAGGAGCUAAGCUGGCCGGGAGCAGCCUGGGCAUGGGUGUGCCCACCUCCCUGCAUGGCUCACCAGGACUGGCUGGGACUGUGGGUGGGGUCUCACUCUGGCAUGGCAGUCCUGCAGGGCUGCCCCAGAGGAAACACCCUCCCAGGGCUGCGGAGGCCUGGGUGCAGCCCCAGGUCUGCAUAUCGUCCUUUUCCUUGGCCCUUAUCCACCAGGACAAGGCCUGCACUGCCCUCUCAGGGUGACCCCAGGCAGCCCAGCCCCAGGUUGGAGCUUCCCUGCACCUUCUGUUGGGGCGUCCCAUCUAUGGACACCUGUAGGAUAUUCCCAGAGACCCCACAGGGCCCAGGUGGGCAAUGCACACCCCCCUGCAGCAGCCCAGGUGGGGAAGGCAACAGCAGGAGUGGUGGGCAGCACUGGACCUGUGCCUGGGAGCCUCUUGCUGCCAAUUCCUUUGUGGCACCUAGUAUGUAGCCUGGAGAAUUCCCUAUCCUAAAGCUGAACACCAAGGUCCCAGGAGCAGGGCCUAUGGGGUCACAGAGGCUGUGGAUGGGCCUUGACCACCUGGGCUGCUGAGUGGGGGUGUGUGUUCCCCAGACAACAGAAAUACUCCAGGCAGCACCCUUGCCAAUGGCCCUGGUGGGAAUAGGCCUGGGCAGGCCAGGAGUCUCCAGGUGGGAGACCUGAAAGAUGUACCACCCGUCAGCCCCCAAGCCAGUGUCCUCUCUGGCCUCAGGCAGAGAUUCAGCUCAGGCCAGGGGACAUGUCUUCUGGGGCUCGGGGCUGAGCCCAGAGCUGGUAGGGUCCAUUCAACCUGCUGUCCUGUCCAGUAGCCUAGAACACACUCUGACCAGUCGUGAGGCAGGUCUGGUGUCACACACACAGCCCUGUGGGUAAGACUGACCAGAGAGUCCGUCCUGGGCAGCCAGGCUGCCAACACAGAGCAGCAGAGACGGGCAUCAACCACCCCCAGCUGCGGAGGCUGGACGUCCCGCUAAGGAAGCAAUCCUGGGCCCUGCAAGGCCCACCUCGCGGCCUGUGGAUGGUGCCCAGUCCCUCUUCAUGUCUCUUCCUCUUCUCAUCCCACGGGGGCUAGGGCUCGGCACAGAAGCUGGGGGACACAGACUCUCAGCCACAAUGGGGCUCUGGGACAGGGCUCUGAAGCGCUAGGCCUCUGAUGGGGGCUGCUUGGCGCACUGGCUCGGGGCACAGAGGCACCCAUGAGUCCCGCCCUUGAUCCAGAUGACUUUCCCAUCACCCCAAAGUUGUCUUAGGCCAUACCAUCCUCCUGCCUCACCCUUUCACCCCUCCCCAUUUCCACAACUUCUGUCACCAGAGAUCAAUGCACCUUUAGUGUCUGGGUGCAGUGGCCCCCACUCCUCAGGAGGCUGAGGCAGGAGGAGCAUUAGAACCCAGGAGUUAGCAGCCUUCUCCUGUGAAUUGGCUGCCAUGCAGCCACACGGUCCUCGCUGUGGUCUGAGUUCCGCAGACCCACCCCCCCAGUCAGCGAGAGUGCCGUGGGUGGGAGCAACGUGUCUGCCUUCUCCUGCUGACACCUUGGGUUGGCUCCGGCUAGGGCAUGACAUGGGCAGUGGCCCUGCACCUUGGAUUCUGGGUGGUGAAUGCUGGGUGGAAGGGUUGGGUCACUCCACUGAACAUGCAGACUCCCGUGCUCCCCAGCUACGCCUGGGAGUUGCUUGCUGCUGUUCCUGAGGGGUGCCGUGUGAGGGUCUAGCGCCCUGAUGUGCGAGAGCUCAUGAGUUCUAUUGGCGUCCUGUAGAUCCCAUGGCGUUCUCUGCACAGCUGGCCUUGGCAUUUACAAAUCAGGGUCAUUGCCUGCCCCUCUCCACAUGGGUCAUGUUUUCCCUUGCCCUCACUGCACUGGCCAGGAACAGACACCAUGGUUGCGAUGUCAGUGGGAAGGGCCAGUAUCUACUCUCCCAUGUGAUGUUGGAUGGAUUUUUAAUUUUCUUUCUGGUAGAGACCUUUUUCCAGGUUGAGGAAGUGUUGUGUCUUUUUAUUCCUUUACUGUAACACUGAGAUCCCUGUUCCAACCUUCCUGUCCGUCGAUGUGGCCAGCUGUGCUAGUGGGUUUUCAUAAUUAAGCCAAUGCUACAGCCCUGGACACCCCCCCCCCACCGCCGAUCACCAUGCAGUGUUCCUCUUCAUAUUGUUGCAUUUGACUAAUUGCAAUAAAACAUUUUAUGCACCGGUU